rnacentral:rRNA from 1 species
UGGGGAAUAUUGCACAAUGGGGGAAACCCUGAUGCAGCGACGCCGCGUGAGCGAAGAAGGUUUUCGAAUCGUAAAGCUCUGUCCUAUGAGAAGAUAAUGACGGUAUCAUAGGAGGAAGCCCCGGCUAAAUACGUGCCAGCAGCCGCGGUAAUACGUAUGGGGCGAGCGUUGUCCGGAAUUAUUGGGCGUAAAGGGUACGUAGGCGGUCUAUUAAGUCAGGUGUGAAAGCGUGAGGCUUAACCUCAUUAAGCACUUGAAACUGAUAGACUUGAGUGAAGGAGAGGAAAGUGGAAUUCCUAGUGUAGCGGUGAAAUGCGUAGAUAUUAGGAGGAAUACCGGUGGCGAAGGCGGCUUACUGGACGAAAACUGACGUUGAGGCUCGAAGGCGUGGGGAGCAAACAGG